rnacentral:rRNA from 1 species
AUGGACGGCGGCGCUCCCCCGGCCAUCGCGCCGGACGCCGUCAUCAACCUCGAGCUGUGCGUGUUCGCGCUUCCCUAUUUUGUGCGCGCUUACGGUAAGGUGUUUUCAAUCGAUCUGACAACGUGCUUCGCCUCACUGCCGGUUUCGGUUCUGCCUGCAUGCAGCGGCGACCCGACCAUGUACGAGGCGUUCUGGAGGGAGGUCGGGGAGAGGUCGGCGGUGGUGAUCCCGGGGUGGUCGGGGAUGAGCUACUUCUCCAAUGCCCAGAGCCUCUGCUGGUACCUCGACCCGGAGUUCGAGCGCGAGGUGCGCCUCGUCCACCGCCUCGUCGGCAACACCGCGGUCGACGACGGCUACCACCUCGUGGUCGGCACCGGCGCCACCCAGCUCUUCCAGGCGGCCAUGUACGCCCUGUCUCCCCCCGGCGCCGAACGGCCCGUCGGCGUCGUCUCGCCGGCGCCCUACUACUCGUCGUACCCGCCGCAGACGGACCUCCUGCUCUCGGGGUUGUACCAGUGGGCCGACGACGCCAAAGCCUUCGACGGUGACGGCCUGUCAGGAUCUAACUAG